GGCGCGCUCAUCUCGAUGGGACUGAAGACCGGAGAAGGGGGAGAAGAUCACCCGGUUCGCGUCCGUCAGGGAGCCUCAGACCGUGGGGAAGGAUGCGCGUGAAGAGUCUCUCCGCGGGCAGCACGACUUAAAAAGCUGCGGUCCAUCCAUCUGGACACUUUUCACAUUUACUCUCACGCCUUUCUCUUUGAUAAGGAAGAGAAGAAUCCAGGCGGGCGUCUUCCAGCUCAUAUUCAUCUCUAUUUAACCCCAGUUUGACGACAGGUCGGGGUCUCGUUUGGACACGAUGUGGAAGACCGGGAUCCUCCUGCUGCUGCUGCUGCUGGGGGUGCUCUCAGCGUCCGGCGAACUCCAGCAAGAGACGGAGCCGCGGAGACUCCCACCCCCGGGAAAGUUGGAUUUCGGUUAUGUGCCUGCGGGAGUUUACGAGACACUGGCCCAUUACGAACCGGGACCGAUAGGGAUUCUGUUCCACAUGGUUCACACUUUUCUGUACGUGGUGCAACCCAACGCUUUUCCACAAGAUCUCAUUGUCAAACUGGCAAAGGACAAGUUUGGAGCCAUUCAGACGGAAUAUCAAAAGCCAGAGAACAUAGUGCUGACCCUUCAGGCCAUCUACUACGAGAUAGGCUUCCUCGUGUGUGCGGCGGUGGGCCUGCUGUUCGCCGUUCUGAUGCCGAUAGUUGGUCUCUUCUUCUGCAUGUGUCGCUGCUGUGACAACUGUGGCGGCGAGAUGCACCAGCGCCAGAGGAAGAACGCAGACUGUCGGCGUGGCCUGCUGGGAACGCUGCUCUUCUCCACCUCACUGGUUAUCACGAUCGGGGUGCUGUGCGCGUACGCUGCCAACCAGAACCUGAGCUCUCAGGUGAAGAACAUACGCAGACUGGUCAACAGCAACAUGAGGGACUUGCACACCUUUGCUAACGACACACCGAUGCAAAUUGAUUACCUAAUAUCCCAAUACGCCACAGCCAAGAAAAAAGUCAUCUAUGACCUAAAUCAUAUAGGCCCACUGCUGGGUGGAAGGAUACAUGAUCAGCUGGAUAAGGAGGUCCAUCCUGCCUUGGACCGAGUGCUCAAUAUGGCUGGAGUGAAAAUCGAGAGAGCCAUCAAAGCCAUGCGAGAAACCAAGGAGGCCCUGGAGAACGUCAGUGUGUCUCUGGAGGUCCUCCAGGAGGGAACAGGGAAGCUCAACUUCAACCUGAGCCUGGUCCGGACCAGCAUCAACCGCACCCUCAACGACCCCGGCUGUCAUGACGAGGAGUCGGACGCCACCACUGCCCAGCUGUGCCGCAACAUCCGCCAGUCACUGUCCCAGCUGCAGAUCAGCGCCAACUUCACGCGGCUGCCCAGAGUGAACGCUCAGAUGGAGAAGAUGAACGAUGUAUUGAGAACGGACCUCAGCGCCAUCGUCCAGAAGGGCUAUUCCUCUCUGAACGACACGCCACACAUGGUGAUAGAACAGACCAGGAGUGUUGUGGAGAAUGUACAGAAUUUGGUGGACGGCAUCGGCAACAACAUCAGCAGCUUUUCCAAGGCGUUCCCGGUGCAGAGCAGCCUGUCCAACUUCACCAUCUUCAUCAGCCACGCCCAUGCUAAGAUUGAGGACUACUACCCUGAAAUUGACAAAAUGGACUUCUACAGGUGGAUCGGCUGCAUCGCUCUUUGCUGCAUGGUGGUCCUGGUCCUGGCCUUCAACUACCUAGGCCUGCUGUGUGGCACCCUGGGAUACGACAAGCACGCCUCGCCCACGACGCGGGGCUGCAUCUCCAACACGGGAGGAACGAUGCUCAUGGCCGGCGUCGGAUUUAGCUUCAUCUUCUCCUGGGUGCUGAUGGGAGUGGUGACCGUCAUAUUCCUGGCCGGAGGGAACAUCGAGAAACUCGUUUGCGAUCCCUUCCACACCAAAGAGCUCUUCAAGGUCGUGGACACCCCAUAUCUGGUCAACCCGGAGUGGAAGAACUUCAUCCCUGGCUACAUGUACAACGACUCCGAGCUCGAGCUGACGGCUGAGAGCUUGUACAGUACUUGCAAAGAGAACAAAGGCAUCUACUUGGCCAUGCGUCUGGACAAAGUCUUCAACAUCUCCUCCUUCCUGAACACGACGGUGUUUACUAAGGAUGUGGUGGGUCAGCUGGACAGCGUUAAGAUCGACCUGAGAGGAAUAAUCCUGUUAGAGGCAGAGGGGAAGCAGAACCUCCUGGAUUUCGCUGAUGCAGGGCUGUCAGAAAUCAACUACGCCGACUAUCUGGAAGAGGUGAAUAAAGGAGUGACUGUUGUGGACCUGCUCUCCUAUGCCAGAGAGCUGGAGGCCCAGACAGACCUUAUGCCCAGAGGCCCUCUGCAGAGCGCUCUGAAGGGCCACAUCGGCACUCUGCGACAGAUCCACACUCAACAGAUCACCCCCAUGGAGCAGUCCAUGAAAUAUGUUAGAGCGAGGAGCGCCUUGAAUCAGAGCAUGAGGUUCCUGGAGAGAACGGCCUCGGAUCUCCCGAACAAAGUCUUAGCGGUUCUCGAUGCCAUUGAAGCUGCCCAGUAUCUCAUCUCCCAGAAUGCUUCACAUUUAAUCAAUCGGGAAACAGGAAAAUACACAGCGACCAUAGUUGGCUACUUCCACCAAUACAUAGAAUGGGUCAAAACAUCUCUGGCCAUGGAGGUCGCACAGUGCAAGCCCUUCAGCAACAUGGUGGACACGACGGAAAUCAUAACCUGUAGCUUCUUGGUCGACUCUAUGAACACUUUCUGGAUGGGCCUGGGCUGCAGCACUCUCUUCCUGCUGCCCAGCAUCAUCCUGGCAGUGAAACUAGCCAAGUACUACCGCAGGAUGGACACAGAGGAUGUUUACGAUGACAUUGAGACAAUUCCCAUGAAAACUAUGGAAAUUGGUAAUAAUGGUUAUCAUAGUGAGCGUUCACAAGGUAUCCCAAAUCCUAUGAUGACAAGCAUCCCUACCUAUGACACUAUGAACAGGUUCCCGCGGGCCUCGGCUCCUCCGAGGCACAUCGACUGGUGACAGAGAGCCGGCUCUUGUCCUGGCUCCUGAAAGUGCCCUCGAAAACUGGAACUAAAACACCGUACGUCUCACAAUCCCUCGGACCAGACGAAGAUCAAUGAAAGCUGGUUUCCUUUACGACGGAAGAACAACACACAAAGCCCUGCAGGUUAUCUACAGCGAUCAACUCUACCGGGCCGAUCACGGCCCAGUACAGUUACCCGCUCUCCGACGCCCCCCCGCCCCCUCCAAGAAACCCCUGCCUGCAGGACAUCAAACUCUUCUCCCUCAGCAUCAAUCUGAGCCAGGCUUGUUCUGCAUUUUUCAAAGAACUGCUGUGUCUGCGUUUACAUUUGUUCAGACACAAAACCAAGCUGAAAAUACAUUCAGCGGGAGGACAUGACAAUAAAUGUGAUGCCUGUUCAUUUUAAUGUACUUGUUUGUGCUUAAGAAAACAGUGGCUGAAAGGUCACCCGAAGGUCAUGGCUAGCUGCUUUUUCUCCUGCACUUAAAAUGGAUGUAUCGCAUUCAACACAAGCAAAUGUUAAAGGGGGGAAGGUGCAGAUUAACAUGAAAUAUGAUGUGUUUAAAACGAAAAAAAAGCACUGUUUUGUUGAAAAUGGCGCGUCCUUUUUAAGUGCAGCCUGUAUGAGUUGGUGGGUGUGUGGUACCUUAAUGACUGAGAAAUGGGGAGGGAAAAAAAUACAAAAAAAAAUACAAAAACAGGCUGUUACCGGGUGGAUUUUUGGGUUUUAUUAUGGAAGAAAUUUAGCACGACUUUUAAAAAUGUUUACAAUAUUACGAAACAUCCAGAGAUUGACGUCUGUGUUGGUUUGGCGCACAUUGAAAAUGACUGGUUGCCUUUCAGAAGUAUGUUUCACGCUGGCAUUUUGACACAGAUGCUCCUUCUUAAAAGGGAAAGUCCACCAUUAGAUGCUCUUACACUGUUAGAAAUCACCAGUCUGUGAUGGAAUUAUUUUGCGGUUUAAAGAUUAAAAUAUACUCUUAUUUUUAUAGCAUAUUCGUUUAAUUGUCAUUUUGUGCCAGGAGUUAAUUUCCUACAUUUCCCAGAAUGCCUCUAAACCGCCCAGAAAUUAGUUUGUUGCUUCAAUUGAUUCUAGUCUACUAAGGCUAAUGUUUCUUUUUAGCGAUUGCUAAGUUUUUAAAUAUUGAACAAAAUGCUGACAUUUUGUUUUGCCUAGUUGCCCUUUAAAAUGAAGCAGUGUCAAGGAGCAGAAAGAAAUUUAACCAAAGAGUAUUUUUCCCUGCACAAAUGGAUUUAUUUGAAGUUUUUGGCAACUGAAAACUUAAGAUAUCUGGUUUAAGAAAAAUCACAGAGAUUAGGUCAGACAACAGUAUUUUAUUUAUAUUUUACUCUAUGCAACAGAAAUAUAUUUUUACUUAUUUCUUUCCUGUGUUGUUAAUCACCUUGGGAUCACUGAGAUUUAUUUUGUGACCCUUGAGUGGGCCAACCCCUGAGACUGAAAGCUACUCUUUGUUUUAAAGACCUUUAAAAGUCUAUUAUUUUUAUUUUUUACACUCCUAAAAAGAUGUAUUAUUACCUGUUGCAGAAAUAUCUGACCUUAACAUCCUGUCAAUCAUAGUCCAAUAAUAAACCACCAAACAACAAAGCUGAUCAGUAAUUUAAGCUACAUCACCAAAUAGUGUUUUUGUAACAGUGUAAGUACUUUAGGUGGAUUUUCCCUUUAAAAAUCACAGAAUAAACUCAGAGCUUAACUGCUUAAUAUAUAUGUACUAUGACGAAAGUGUAGGUGAUGGAUUGAUUAACAAAACAAGCUAUCAUGUUGAGUUCACUAACAUGACAUUUUUACUGAGAUCUUUCUUGCUUUCAUAGAAACUUUUAAAGUGGAGAAUUACUUUCUCAAGCCAAAUCUCUUUUCUUUUUUUUUUACUGUAGGUCUCAGGUCUUUAGUGGUCUAUCAUUUAUGUGCUUAUUUUGUUCCUGCUUUUUAAAACCCCACAGUAGCUAUGGAUACAUUUAAGACUAUUGAACAAAUGAAUGUAUUCAAGAGCUAUUUUUUAUUUUGUAUUGCUUGAUUUGGCUGUUGGUUGAGUAAUAUGCUGAAAUCUAAUUCAAACGCAUCGGGCAAGCCAAUCCAGUUAUCCCAUCCACCUCGCCUCCAUGUUUACAGAUUAGAUCUGCAGCUGCUGUCAGCGUAGUAAUGAUGGUGAAAGAUUAGACAAUCCAUUCAUGGGACAAGUGAGCACUGUCAAUCAAAUUGAAUGCUUGAAGAAUGCUUUCUGGUUUACUUGGCGGGUGUUGAUGCACACUGUGAAAAAAUAAUGUCCAUCUUAACGUUGAAAGUUAUUUUAGAUGUCGUGCUAUUGUUUUUGAGCAGUGCAACAAAGGAAUAACUUAUACAAUAGCCUCUAAUGUUAGGUCUAAAAAAAAUAAUAUUUCAUUUUUAAUCCAGUAAAAAACUGCGGACCACAAGGUGAAAUAAGUAACAUUAGAGUUUCAUCUUCUCUCUUCAUUUGAUGACUUCGAGAACGUGCUAACUGGCUUUUGCAAUAACUUGCAAUAGCUAGUAAUUUGAUGCACUAGCAUAUCAUCAUAUUAUCAGCUGACUAGCACUGAAAACUAGUGGCAAUUUUUGGCAGCGCUAAUGCAAUCCAGGCUAGUUGCUACAGCUAGUAAGCUAACUAGCCUUUGUGUUUUACAUAACCCACUAAUUCACAUUUGUAUGACCAUUUUUAACAUACGUUACUUUUACAUUACAAAUUAAUCCAUCUAUUGAAUCCAGCACUGGUUUAAUUGUUUUUAAGUAAAAAUCAGUCAUCACAUUCCUGGCCAGUUAGCUAGUUAGCCUAUGUGUAGCUACAGCUAGUGGGAAAGUUUGCGAUCUGUUCUGGUUUUGGGGCGCAUUGCAAAUGACUGGUUGCCUGUCAGAAGUACAAUCAUCAUCCUAACAUUUUACAAUACACAAUAUAAAAAAUAAUACCAAUCUUGACAUUAAACUUUUGGAUUUGAAGUAUGGUGUUUGAAUACACCAGCAGUGCACCAGCAGUUAGCCUAACUACCCCAAAUUUAAGGAUUUACAUUAAUACAAAUCUAAUUUUAUGUCGAAUCAUCUGUAAGCGAGGGGAAAUUUUUAGUUUAAUUUUCUCUCUUGAUUUGAUGAUUUUAAGGAUGUGCUAACAGGCUUUUGAAAUAACUGAUGCUAGUUAAUUGAUCCAAUAACAUCAACUGAUUAGCAAUAUUUCACCUCUUGUACCUUAUGGCCUUUAUAUUUUUUAUGGCAACACAAACACAAUCCAGCUACUUGCUACAGCUGCUAAGAUACCUAACACCUAAUACAUUACAAAUGAACCCAUCUCUUAAAUAUAGAUGCCAGCUCACUGCUCAUUGUUUUACAUAAACCUAAAGUUCACACACUGCAUACAGCAUACACAAGUAGUAUAAAGAACUACUUGCCUUCUGGAUACAUUUUAAAUUCAAAAUGGUCUGCGUUGGCAUAAGAUUAGUUCACUUUUUUUUUUACUUGUUUCAUUGCAUUCCCCAGUUUCUUGUUAAGAUGGAUAUUUUUUGAAGCAGCUGUGUGUGCACACUUUGACAGGACUAUCAUUGGUUUUCUUGUCUGCUAGAGUCUGGAUGUGACCCUUGAGAGAGAGAGAGAAAAAAAAGGGUGUGAUUUUACUAAGUGCUUAAACUAGAUAUUGUGUAUCCAAACCCUGGAUGGAUGUUGGCAGGACAGAUACAGUAACUGGUUUGAACUGUGGUGCUCCAAAGUUGGACACUGAUGGAGCCAAUGAGGAAGGAACAUUUUAUGUGGUGGUGAAAAGAAAGUGUAAAAAUUGUGAAUAAACU